UGGAUUUGAAACUGGAGUUCAGCACUCCUCACCUUUUGACAGGUGGCUUAUUCUCUGCAAGCCUGUUUCUCUCCUCUGUAAAAUGGCGACAAUAAUUCUCAUAUAAUAGAAUGCACGUGAAAUCAGAGAUCACACAACUGCUGAUCACAUCUUUUUUGUGUUCCCAGGGGCACCAGACUAGGGUUUCUGUGCAUGGAUCCAACCAUCCCAGCCUUGGGUACAGAACUGACAUCAAUCAAUAGGACUGAGGAGACCCAUCUUCAACAUUGUGGCAUGGAGAUCAUGAUCCUCAUGUUGCUGCUCCUCAUCGUUGACCUGGUCCAGCUGGCAGGAAAUGCAGUCAUUUCCUCUGGCUCCUGGGAUUCCGCAUGCACAGGAACACCUUCUCCCUCUACACCCUCAACCUGGCCGGGGCCGACUUCUUCCUCUGCUCCCAGGUAACUCAAGCAGACAGAAGAGACCACCAAGAGAAGAUGGGACAUCACAGUGGGC
ensembl:lincRNA